rnacentral:rRNA from 1 species
GACGAACUGUCCUAACGUUGUUCGGAAUCACUGGGCUUAAAGGGCGCGUAGGCGGUCCGACAAGUCAGGGGUGAAAUCCUGCAGCUUAACUGCAGAAGUGCCUUUGAUACUGGCGGUCUCGAGUCCGGGAGAGGUGAGUGGAACUGCGAGUGUAGAGGUGAAAUUCGUAGAUAUUCGCAAGAACACCAGUGGCGAAGGCGGCUCACUGGCCCGGUACUGACGCUGAGGUGCGAAAGCGUGGGGAGCAAACAGG